UAUGAAAGAAAUGCUACCUUCAAGGGUCAACUUCUUCAUUGGAAUAUUAGAGGUUUGUGUAAGUUAUUUUGUGGUUAUAUCUCACAAAGCUCUCUUAUCACAGGAAAGUAAAUCUUUAUCAAGGGUUGCCAUCCCCUCUCUAUUUUACAUAUGGUGAAAACUCAAUUUAUGGUAUCUCAGACUCGUAUACUGGCUACUUUCAUCCCAUACCUUUAAUGAUUUUGAAAAUUUAUGGCGAUUUUCAGGACCUCAGUGUAUCAUAUUAUUUCAGAAAUAUGCUGUCACAAUUUAUCACACAACUGCGAGGCUUGAGUUUCUUCCUUUGUUGGAGUUUGCUUCUGCUAGGUUUGACUGUAUGAGAAAUUCUGAAAAAGCCACCAGUCCGGUUUUCAUUUUUUUUAUUUUAUUAUUUAAAGUUAGUACAAUCUCUAGCUAUACUCAAGCUAAUUAAAACCAACUAAUUUAGUAAGUUUGUAUAAGGACACUGUGAAGCUAUGCUUAUCGAGCAGUGUCCUGGUCCUUCCUCUCAAUUUGGCCACACCUCGUGAUUCCAACGCUUGGAAUUACAGAGAAUUGGUGACUCCCCUCACUCUGAGUGAAAGUUUCGUCAAGUCAGGGGCUCGUGCCACAUACCCUUAGAUCUUUAGUCAGCAACCCAAACCAUUGAGCCACCCUCAGACAUCAAUCCGUUGAUUGGAGGCAUCUGUUAUUGGUUGAUCGCCUUUUUAAAGUGUCAGUUGUGUAAUUAGAAAAUAGUAUCAUUUAAGUCAAAUAAGAGACAAGAUUCAAAUGGGAGGGGAAAACUGUUUUUCCUGGUACUACUAUUAUUGAGCCUGUGACUCGAGUCACCCCCUUCGUCUUCGGUAUAACUGGGACCUGGGCAGGCCACAGGGCGUUAUUAACGUAACUCUAGCCAGUUGCGCGUUUUUAUGCGUGUUGGUAUACAAGCUGGUUAUUUAUAGCAGUAUAGUAGAGAUUUGCAUUGGCUUAGGCAACAUCUCCAAAUGAUAUGUGCGCGUCUUUUAAACUGUACUAAAUCGCAGUUUCGACACUAUCAGCUUUCAAUUGGCUGUCAUAUGUUUAGAAAUCACGUUUACCCAAAUUCACCAAAGUUGGUUUACAGACAUUUAUGCAAAUUCACCAAAGUCGGAUUAAAAAAUCCUUAUAAUUUUUUCUCAUCAUAAAAGGAUACUAGGUUAAUUUGUAAAAAGCCUUAAAGCUGGGAGCUUGCCGGGAUGAAAACAUUCCAACAACCAAUAGGAAGAAUAUAUUCCAUGACAUGUGAGCCUUCUAGCAAACAUAUUCUUUAAACACUUCACAGACUGGUAAACUGAGCUCCAGUAUAUUGUUUAAAUGAAAUUUUUUUCGAUUUGGAGAACAAAAAUAUCCCAUUUGAAACACAUAAUCUUUUAUUUGUCAGGGGAGCAAUACUUACAACCGAGCAUAUUUUCUUCUGCUAGAUUAUGGAUUUUGUUGUCAAUGUGCCAAAGUACAUAUAAUUUUACCUAAAAGUUCUAAAAGGAGCCCAUGAGCUCGAUAAAAUCCUGUCAAUACUUUAAAAAAUUUAACAACUGUUUAAUUAUAUUAUCAGUCAGUUUUUGCCCAUAGACAGACAGCUACAAUGCCUGCCAAAUGUCUUGGUACACUAGGUCUCAGUUUUCAAGGGCAAAUUCAGCCAUCCCCCUUCCCCCUCUUUGAACAAUGUUGGUUUACUACUAAGCAACGUUGGGGAUUGGGAAAAGCGUUUUUCCUGCGACUUGUUUACCGAUAUUUCAUACAUUAUCAACAUUAGGGAAAUGGGAAAAUGCCUGGCUCAUUCGAUUUGUCGGAAGUGAACGGGGGGUUUUUCACCGUGGACAGUUGUCACUGGGCUUGUUACAUAGAAGUGUAAUAAACGCCUCCUUUUCUCACACAAAAUUAGAAAUAAAAGCCUCCUUGUAAUCAAGCUUUCCUUUAAUACACGCCCCAUACACUGAGCUUUAGGAUUUUGCUUGCUUCCCAUAGCAAUGGACCUCUGAUUUUGACUGUUACUGUUUACUAAGCAUCGAUUAUUUUGUUAUUUUGCUUCACUAUUAAAGAUGUUGGUUGAUCUACGAUUAUAAGUCAAACAACUAGCAAGUUGUGUUUGACGUUCAUUUCGAACCAAAAAAAACCCUGAUAAUAUAGAGAUCAUACUAAUUAGAAACUUCACAAAAAAAUUCACGAUUUCAACGAAAAAACAAAUAUCAUUUCAUGAUAAUAUGAACACCAGUUGCCCAUCUACUAGAUAGUUACCUUGAAUGACAUAUCAAAUUUUCAAUUUUCAAAGAACUCCUCCAAUAACUAAAUUCCUCCAUGCAAAAAUCACCGCAUCGAAUUCUUCAACAAUAAAAAACAAUUUUCUUCUUUUCUUCUUGAUUAAUUUUCUUCUUUAAUUUAAUGCAAAAAUGUAAACAACCUGCACACAGCUUCAAAAAUUGUGAUUAUUAAGCGAAUAAGAGUUCAAUCAAUGGGAUAUUUUGAAUUAAAGUAGCUCUGUUGUAUUGCAUACAUUACGGCUGAGAAAGUCACACUUUUGAGGCUAAAGCUAAUCUUUAGCAGGGCAUUCCAUAUUACUUUACUUGAUUUCAGAUUCAAAUAAAUAGUUUUGGGUCUGUUUGUUUCAAGUGACUAGUUUAAUUCCUUGAUUUCUGCGUGGGAAAGUUCAUUAUACUGGAAAUUCUGGCGCGUGUAGAAGAAAAUCUGACAAGAACAAGGUUUUCCCCGCGCACUAUAUGGAAUUCAGACGGGUUAUAUAUACAUAAAAAUAUCUUAUCCCCAUCAGAACUAACACCGCAAAACAUUCUCCAUAUAUAUACAGUGUCUUGAGUGAGGUAUCAGUUAGUAUCAGUUAGCCUGAGACCAGCAAUGUGGAGAAAUCCAAAAUGUCCUUUCUAGAUUCAUUCUGUAUCUCUCUCAGGCUAACUGAUACUGCUAUUAAUAUAAUUUAAACAUGCGAUCUAUCUAUCAGUCAAACAGUCCGAUGUCAUUGCUCAGACACCAUAAUAUACAGUUUCUGAUUCAUACUAAAAAAUAAACAGAGUCACUCUUGUAGAACAGUUUUUUUCAUUUUUGAAUUAAAAUUUGAGUUUUUUUUAUAAAGUCAAAUCUUUAUCUUUCUCGUAGGAAACAGCGGGCUGUUUUUUUCUUAAAUUCAAUUACGUAGGCUGCUUCUUCUUUAGCUUGCUGAUUGUUAAUAAAUCCUGCGGCGCUGUUUUUAAUCUUCUGGUCAGUUUUAAAAUCAUGAUUGCAAGUUUUUGCUGCUUAAAACAAAUAUGCAGUGUUUUAAGCCAGUAUCUGAUUGUCACAAAUUAAACAAACACCUGCUGUGAGAUCAACAAUACUAGAUUAAAAAUGCUAUUUUCAUCUGCUCAGUCAAUCUUUUGGAGCAAUAUUUGUCUUCUUGAAUGAUCAUACAGUAUUCUAAGCGAAUGCAUGAUGCUCUUUUGUUUGUUUAAGGCCCGAGGAGAUCAUUUUGCUAUAGUUUUAGUAUCAUUUUAAUGUUGGUAAAAUCAUCAUUUUGGGGAAUUCAAACUGUAGAGCUAAUCAUGUAAAUUCUUAUCGUGUACGGCCUACUACAAGUUGAAUCCGGUAGAAUUAACACACAAACCUUCAUAAUCAAGAAUCAACUAAAUUGAUGCUAGAUGACGUCACUAGUGUCCAGUACUAUAAUCAACCAUUAGAAAUCAUGUACGUACUUUUUAAGUUGAGAAAGCUGAUUUCAGUUCAAAAGACGUCUGUUUGAAGCUUCAAUUGGGCACCUGGAAUCCGAUUCCUGGAAUCAGGGCUGGAUGUCUCAUUGGCUCAUCACCCUUAGUUUUGAGGAACUGCUCGAAAAUCCUUUUUUAUAGGUUUGGCUAGAAUGAUUCUCUUCGACGAUUAGGCACCCAUUUUUGUUUGAUGGUAAUGUUUAAUGGUGACUUGUCAGGUGUUCUCUUUUGCAAAACAAUUAUGAAAAUUGGUGCCAAUCCUGGACUGAAAUUUCCUAUAAAACUCAGUAUAUACAAAUGUAUUACUAGAAGGUUUAAACUUGGCAUCUAUUCGAGUGUCAAUGAGUACAGAUUAGUUGCGAGUCGCUUUAUUUUUAAAAAUUACUAGUGAAAGUUGCUUAACAGCAAUCGACGGACGGAUGCUUAAGUGGCUUUAGCGAUCUAUCAAUCAACAAUUGGCUAAUCAAUAAAUGUUAUAUCAUCAUGCUGCUUAUUGAUUGGCCAAUAAUUGAUUGCCAGGUGGCUGUAGCCAUCUGCCUAUCGCCUGUAAUACCAAAUUGCAUCCAGGCGGGUCCUUAACCGCAACAGAUACAUUGAUUUAAAAGGACAUUUUAAAUCCGUAUUCAUUUGCAGUAGCUAUCUGUGCAUGACUUGCUUAGCAACCCUUGCUCUUUCUGAUUCUUAUUCCUGUCAUGGCAACAAAUCAGGGCCUCCAUGCAUUCCAGUCACGUUUUGAAUGUUUAUUUUCUGUUCAUAUGCCAAUUGGAAUACCGAUUUUGUUUAUAAAUCUUACAAGACAACUUGCUUGUGUCCCAAUACAGAAUUUAAUAUGUUCCUGGUGACUUUAUUGGUGGUGAAUUGGUCUAGAAACAAUUAUUGGCAAAGGUAAAAUUUGAAUCGAAAGUUUUUGAUCGGUCCGUUAGAUGUUUAUUUGUCUAGCUAUGCAAUCGACCUGCAGGUGUAUUUAUUCCUGGGUGAACUUUGCAAUAAUAUGAUUAAGUCAGGUUUGUUCGUCAGCAACGGAAGACAUGCUUGUGGAUUUCCUUAGCAGCUUGGUUUCGCUUUGUUUCUUUUCACGGCAAGUUUGUGUUAGCAUUUCUUGGUCUUUACAGUUUUGCUACCACAAAUAAGAUGCAAGUUAACAGUUUUAAGAUGUCACGUCACCAUCGUUGGUAGAGUGAAAUUUGUGACGUUUCUUUCUUCCAUUUCAACUUGGACAGACUCUCAGGGUGUGAAGCCCUUGAAGAUUCACCGUUCAAUGCAACUUUUGAUGCUCUCCAGAAAGCACUGACAGAGAAGAAAAUUAGAAUUCGGUUCUUCUUACCAAACAGAAUCCUUCGUUAGAACAUAUUAUUUUCAUUGCUCCGAGCUAGCACAGUGAAGAAAUUUCAUGGAUGGAAUGCUUUCUUCAUUUUUAGAUAUUGCGAGUGAGAAAAUAUGAUUUCCGUUCCUUGUAGCUUUCGUCUGCUGUUAUUCAUGCCUGUCAAUUUUUUUUGUUCGAGCUUUAAAUGGCAAACUAGAAAAUACAGAUCCUGACUUCGUUACGUCACUAUUUAGAGAUCAACAUACGAUUGGUUGGGGGAUUUCCUAGUAUGAAUGUUUAGAUACUGUGUAAAACAUACCGAUAUGAUGGCCCGUCAUUUCUGCUUCAUGCUCUUUCUUUGAACACUUUUCUAAGACAAUAUUUUUUGUAUGUAACUAUUGCGUACAUUGAUUUAUUGGAAAUUAAAGUUCAAUAUUUGAUGCAAACAACAUUGAUGGUUCUUGAAAGUCCAAUUAGAAAGGCCAAUAGCCUUUCUGGAAAAGCAUUUGUAGCAAUCUAAUAUUUGAACCGUAUUGCAAAUAGUGUCGAACCGAUAAGAGCAUUUGGAACAAGGCGAUUGCUAGAAACUGGAGAAGAAUCCAGGACGUUAUUGGUCAUAAAAAAUGAGCAACUCAAGUACAAGUAAAAUUUACUAUUGUCCAUCAUUAUGGCCACUGGAUAUGCCGUCGCCCCAUUUGAUCACUUGGUCAUUUUUUACCGCCCUUUUGUCACCAAUCACCAUCGUCUCGAACGCAGCACUAAUUUACGGACUUUACAAAAUGGAGCAGCUAAACACGAUCACAAACAAAUUCAUUCUCGUGAUGAAUAUAUCAGAUCUUGGAACUGGAAUAUUUGUCCUGCCAUCCAUAGCUGCAAUGGCAGCUUUAAAGGACAAGUACCGAAACUGUGUGUUUGAACUGGUUCUUCAUUAUGGCGCCUUUCUUCUCGCUUAUUUCUCCUUUUUCAUGUUGAUGUGCGUAUCUAUGGAUCGUUAUCUUCACGUGACGAAGCUCAAAAAGUACAAUAAGUUCAUGAACGAAUUUCGCAUGAAGGUGAUCGUUGUGUUUAGCUUCGUAACAUCGGCAAUAAUCGCCUACAUAUCGAUCGCGUUUCCUUCUUUCCCGCUGCAAGUCGCGUUGAAUUUAUCCGAUCUCUUUGGUGUUCUGUUUAUGUUCAUAUUGUAUUCGAUGGUGUUUCGCAGAAUUGCCAUUCAUGCGGAGAAAAUUAAGAAAAUGCUGAGAGAUGCCGGAGAAGAUUCGGGUAACCGAGAAACAAGACGAGAAAUCUCGGCAACGAAAACGAUUCGUUUUGUCCUGGGUGCUUUGUUGGUUCUGUAUCUACCGUACAACAUUUGCUCCGCAAUCUGGACGUAUUACAAAUACCAGGAGAAGAGGAAUCCCCCAUUAAUCAUGAAUGUCCUAGAAUAUUGGGCUUAUGUUAUCGUGUUUAGUAAUGCAGCAAUAAAUGCUAUCCUAUUCGGAUAUGGUAACAGCGUUGUGAGGAGAUUCUUAAUUGGACGCAUUAGCAGGAGUCAAGUUGCUCCCAGUAGCGUCGUGAGUGACGUCACAAGACCUUCUGAAAUUGCAAGCAAGGUAUAGUACACCCCUGUCUUAGUGCCCCAGCAUAUAUUGCCCCGGCGACAAAAUGACUGUCCCCGGUUUAGAUCGCCUCAAUCAAAUUCCUCGGUCACAGGUUUUGCAAAGCCCGGUACCUAAAGUGUUUCAAAAGUUCCCCGCAAUCCAACUUAUAGCUAAUUAUUUGACUGUAAGUCUGCAGAGAAUUUUCCUUUAGAUUGUCAGACGCAAUGAACAAAGAGAAAGAAAGAACAAACGCAUAUUGGAGGAACUUAUUAGCCACACGCGUUUGUUUUCAGCACUUUUUUCUAUUCUGGCACCUUAUCUUGAACAGAAUUUUCUACAGAAGUCAAUGAUUUCAAGAUUUCUUGUUAUUACUAUUUUAAAAAUCAAGACCCUCCUUUGGUAAAUAUGAACCAUGUAUCUAAUUUCCCUACAGAAGAAUCGUUGACUGAAAUUCGCAAUGAGCUCUAGACCUUUUUUACAUGCAAAAAAGAUAUCCAAAGAUGAGAAGAGGAGCAAUUGACUAUUAGUUUCCUGGUUACCUGGCUUUAGAGGUAACGCGAAAGCAUUCUAUUUCCAAGACUACGGAAAAAUUGUAUCAAGUGUUCCUAGCAUUCCUAGACUUGGCGUUAAAAAAAAAAGAAAUUUAUUGUUUCGAAUCUCUCGAAUUGGUUUAACCUCAGCUAUCAAAUCUAUUCAUCAAAAUUUCUGUUUUUUCAAAAUGAAUAGAGAGGUUGAUAAAGGGUCAGACGGCUCUACUGCUGAAAGUGGUGCUUGAAAAUAGAGUAGGCAAAAUCCAAAGAACAUCUUAUUUAGAAAAAAAUAAAACAAAAUAUGAAGGCAGAUACAAUAGCCUUCGAUCACUGUAAAAGACCAAUAAUUUUCUCCCUUCUGAAGUUUAAUAAUUGCCGCCAUAAUUUCGUUAUUGGAGUAGGCACACAAAUCUGCGCAUCUUUGAUCCACUCGGAUCCGAUUCCGUGUAAACGCAAAUAUUUUCAGAUCCGAUCCCGAUUAAACACCUCCUCAAAAUGAGUUCGGAUCCAAAUGGAUCCGAUACUGUUUGGAUCCGAUCCCGUGUAAACAGUGCCAAAGAGUAACUUAUAUCUUUUUAAUGUCAAAAUCAGGUAUAGUGAGUUUGAAGAUACCCUUAAUGUUAAUGAGUCUUUCAGGCUCCCUUGGAUUUUUCAUCUUGAGGAUUUCGUUUCCCCGUAUCUUUUAUGUUUUGACAUAUAAUGUUGACAUUGAUCAGUGUAAAUAUCAGAUAAAAAGAUCUUCGUGUUCCUCGAAGCGAAAAAUCGGGAGUGUGGCUCCAUAACUUGUGGCCUUUUCGGUAUUUAACCACUACACCUCUCCUGUACGAUUUUCGAAAAAGUUUGUCAAUGUUUUCUUUGCUUCAGUUUAGAAAGAAUUAUAUUCAUAUUGCACAAUAAUGAAUGGGGAUGGCUGUAGCCCCCUGUUCCCCUCUGGCGCCACCACUGCAAUGUUCCCUUCUCGUCAGUUUAGAAAGAAUCAUAUUUAGUGAUGAUAUUGCACAAUGAUGAAAAUCUAGUUUUUUAGAAAUACUAUGUGUCCAAACGUACUUGUAGUUUGGUAAUAGUCAGGCAAAAUAAGUGAUCAGUUAAUAUGUAAAUAAUAUGCUGAAAGUAUUGGUAGAUAUGUCGUUAAAGUAUUAAUAUCAUCAUAUAGUCUUCAUGAUAUAAGCGAUAUUUUGAUUUGUUAUAUCUCGAGACCAUUGUGUUUAGCUAUUUCUUGAACUAGACAUAUGAUCUUUGAAACAUAACUGUGACAUUUUACAAAAAUUACUGUUUACCGGGCAGUCAAAGAGUGACUGAUGUCAUGUAGGCCGAGCUGUACGCGCUUUUGUGAAAAGUACAGGAUUGUUGUUAGUUGCAACUCUAGGUAUCUCGCUUAUUGACAUUAUUUUGAUAAAUAUGAGCACUGUGGUCAAAAUGAACAAUAUGAACACUAUCAGAUUUGUAGAAAUAUAAUGUGUGCAAAUACGCUUAUAGAUGGAUAAUCAUGAAGCAAAAAUAUAUUUUUAAUUGAUAACAAUUAUUCUAAAAUAUGUAACACUUAUAUGUGUACGUAUCCAAGUAAAGUCCUAGCAUAAUCAUCUAGACUGGAAAUUAAAAA